UGAGGAAUAUUGGUCAAUGGGCGCAAGCCUGAACCAGCCAUCCCGCGUGCAGGAAGAAGGCGCUAUGCGUCGUAAACUGCUUUUCCAGGGGGCGAACAUCCCGCACGAGUGCGGGACUGACGGUACCUUGGGAAUAAGCAUCGGCUAACUCCGUGCCAGCAGCCGCGGUAAUACGGAGGAUGCGAGCGUUAUCCGGAUUUAUUGGGUUUAAAGGGUGCGUAGGCGGAUUAAUAAGUCAGUGGUGAAAUUCUGCAGCUUAACUGUGGUACUGCCGUUGAUACUGUUAGUCUUGAGUAUGGUCAAGGUAGGCGGAAUGUGUAAUGUAGCGGUGAAAUGCUUAGAUAUUACACAGAACACCGAUUGCGAAGGCAGCUUACUGGGCCGUUACUGACGCUGAUGCACGAAAGCGUGGGGAUCGAACAGG
rnacentral:rRNA from 1 species